UACAGAGGUCCCGAGCGUUGUUCGGAUUCAUUGGGCGUAAAGGGUGCGUAGGCGGCUUCCUAAGUUUGAUGUGAAAUCCUGGGGCUCAACCCUGGAACUGCAUUGAAUACUGGGAGGCUAGAGUACUGGAGAGGAAACUGGAAUUUACGGUGUAGCAGUGAAAUGCGUAGAGAUCGUAAGGAAGACCAGUGGCGAAAGCGAGUUUCUGGACAGUUACUGACGCUGAGGCACGAAGGCCAGGGGAGCAAACGGG
rnacentral:rRNA from 1 species